ACGUUGAUAGGCCGGGUGUAUAAGCGCAGCGAUGCGUUGAGCUAACCGGUACUAAUGAACCGUGAGGCUUAACCUUACAACGCCGAAG
rnacentral:rRNA from 1 species